UGGUGGAGUGAUUUGUCUGGUUAAUUCCGUUAACGAACGAGACCUCAGCCUGCUAACUAGUUACGUGAAGAUUUUUCUUCACGGUCAACUUCUUAGAGGGACUAUUGGCGUUUAGCCAUGUGGAAGUUUGAGGCAAUAACA
rnacentral:rRNA from 1 species